UGUACUAGAACUCGUUUUGCAGAGCA
rnacentral:piRNA from 1 species